rnacentral:lncRNA from 10 species
GGAAGAAUACAGUGGCACCAUCAUGGCUCACUACAGCCUCCAACUCCAGGGUUCAAGCAAUCCUUCUGCCUCAGCCUCUAGAGUAGCUGGGACCACAAGCAUGCACCAACAUACCUGGUUAAUUUUUUAUUUUUUGUAAAGAUGGGGUUUCACUAUGUUGCUGAGGCUGGUCUCAAACUCCUGGACUCAAGUAAUCCUUCCACCUCUGCCUCCCAAACUGCUGGGAUUACAGGCAUGAGCCGUCCUGACAACCAACAAAUGAUUAUUAAGCCUAGCAUAGUGGCACAUGCCUGUUGUCUCAGCUACUCAGGAAGCUGAGAUGGAAGGAUUACUUGGGCCCAGGAGUCUGAGUCCACCCUGAGCAACAAAGCAAGACCCUGUCUCUAAUAAAAAUAAAUACACAUUAAAUAAAGGAAAACAAAAUAAAUGAUUAUUUCAAGCUCCUCAUCUUACUGAUCUCACAGCAGUUGACAUAUUUGAUCACUCCUUUUUGAAAGAAUGUCUUCAUUUUUCUUCCAAGACAAGACUUUCCCUUCAUUCCCCAAUGCCUGCAUGUUUGCAGACUCCACUGCUGGUUUCUCUUCAUUUUUUCUGACCUCCAAAGGCAAGAGUGUACUUGGGCUCAAUUCUCUUCCAAAAUUUCUCCCCUGGGGAAUCUAUUCGGUUUCACAGUUUUGAAUGCCAUCUAUGUGCUGAGAUUUCUAAAUGUAUGUGUCUAGCCCCAAUCUGUCCCCUGUACUCCAGCCUCCCAUGUCCACCUGCCCCUGCAGCAUCUCUAUUUGAUGUCUGACAAGCAUCUCAAUCCUAACAUAUCCAAAACGGAAAUUUUGCUCAUUUUGAAAUCCUUGCCAGUGUAGUAAAUGGUGCCUCCACUCAUCAAUUUUUCAGUUCAAAACCUUGAAGUCAUUCUUAACUAUUCUCUUUCCAUUACACAACAUCCGUAUCAUAUGAGUUACAUGUUAGAAAUAUAUCCAGAAUGCUACAGAUUCUCACCAUCAACACCAAUGCUAUCACUCUAAUUCAAGCACCAUCGCUUCUCCCUGAAACUACUGCAAUAGCCUUGUCUUGUUUCCUUCCUCCCAUCCCUACCUUCCUACCGUCCGUGUUCAACACAGCAGAGUAAUCUUCUAAGGCACAAGUCAGAUUUUACCAGCCCCUAUUCAACCCCGUAAUGAAUUUCCAUCCUCUUCAGGGUUUAGUCCAAAUGUUUACUGUGGAAUACCAAACCCUGUGCAAUCUGUCAUCCUUCUGCCUGACCUCAUCUAGUACAACUCCCCUCCUUUCUCACUGUGAAGCCUCAUUUGCCUGCUUGUUAGUUCUUACAAAUCUCAAAAUCCAAGCAUGUUCCUACCUCAGAAUCUUUGCAUUUCUCAUUUCCUCUUUCUGAAAUAUUCUCCUAAAUAUGUGUAAGUCUUGAUACCCUAGUUCUUUGUGUUCUCCAAUCAACUGGCCGCUUGUCUGAGAGGACUUCUCCCAGAGUCUCCUGGCACUGUUUAUCUUCCUUAGUCUGGCUUAUUUUUCUUCCUAACCCUUAUCAGCACCUAACAUUUUGGGGUGCACUCUCUGCCUCCCCACACUAGAAUGAAAGGUCUGUGAGAGAAAUAACUUUAUUUUGUUCACCGCCAUAUCCCUCAGAACCCAGAAGAGUAUCUGUCACAUAGUAGAUACCAAGUAAAUCUUUUUUGCCUAAAACAAUUAUUACACACAUUAAAACAAUUAUUACACAUUUGCUGAGUGCCUUUUAGGUGCCAGGCAAUAACUGUGCUAGGUCCUGGUGUUAGGAAGAUGAGGAAGGUAUGAAACCUGUCCUCUGAGAGCUCAUCUGUUUAGUAUGUUUCUCUGAUUGGAAGAAUAAUGGUCUCCACUCUCACCCCAAAUAUGUCCGUUUCCUAAUCUCUUGAACCUGUUAAAUGGCAAAAGGGACAUUGCAGAUGUGAUUGAGUUAAGGAUCUUGAGAUGGAAAGAUGACCCUGGAUUAUCUGGGUGGGCCUUAUGAGAGAGAAGUAGGAGAGUCAGAGUAAAAAAGUGAGAGAGAAUGGAAGAGAAGUGAAGAAGUGCAAAAUGAUAUAUUGCUGGCUAUGAGGGUAGAAGAAGAGGCCAGAGCCAAGGAAUGCAAGCAGGGAAGUUUCUAUUUCUCAGCAUGAACUUCUAUAUCAAUCUUAUGCUAUUUCUAUGUAAUCACUGUUAUCGUUGUUCAAAUAUUUAGCAGAGAAUUCCUAUUAAACACUAAAACUCAAAUAUUCUCACCUAUCAUUGAGGAUUAUUUUUAUGUAACCCAAGGCCUGGUUGGGUCAAAUCAGAGCUCUGGGACUGUUUCACAUCUACCUGUAUUUGUUUGCUAGUUACAUUCCAAAUAUCGUCCAAGUUUGCAUUCUUUCAAGUCAUUAACACUGUCUGCAGGGUCUGUUUUCCAAUAUGGGAGGAAAAACUGUCAGAGGCUGCAUUAUUUCAUUCUUUAUUAAUGAAGGAUCCUGUACCAAUAGGGAAAUGUAUGCUUUCUUGAAGUUUUAGAUUAUUCUCAGAGUAAUUUACUACAAUUAUUUUGACAUCAGCCAAAUCCACCUAUAAAUCAAAUAUACUUCUAGCUAGCAACUCCGCAUUUUUUCACUCUCAUGCAAAGGAAGAUUCCUUACUCUUUUAUUGCUGAUGCAUUCCAGCUUCUUGUCACUUGGCCUUCUGCUAAAAGCAAAUUUUUUGUGAUUUUUAUGCAAAAGUAUUAGUGAAGACUCCCUCAAUCAAUCCCUGAAAAUUUUGUUCAUUACAAAAUAAUGGACUGAGAUGAUUAUAUAUGUAUAUUCUGCUAAACCCUCAAAAUUCUAGUUUUUUUUUUAAAUUCAAAGAUUACAUGCUGUUAGGUGUGGAAGGGCUGCUAGAGGACAUGUGGAAUAGUACAAAUAAGGAAAAUGAGGCAUUCUUGGGCAACUUGUACCUUUGAUAGACAAUAUGGCCACAUUGUGCGUCUAAAUUAAGCUUCAGUAAAUUAAGCUUCAGAAAAUCAUCAGAUCCACACUUGCAUUAUGGAAUGAGUGGCUCAAGAUGUUUUCAUGCAAAACAAAAAUAAUUUAUUUUAGUUUAAAUACAAGUGAUGCAAUAUAAAAGGGAAAAUAACAACAUUUAAGAAGUAAAAUGGCAUAAUCAUUAACUUGCAAUUAAGGAAUAAUAUAAACCAUCAAGGCUUAGGGUUCAGGGUAUCUCUGUUUUACCUCCUCAUGACUGUGUUUGAAUUAAGUAACUUUGGAAUAAGUAACUUUGCUUCUUUGUGCCUCAGUUUUCUCAUUUGUAAAAUGGACACAAUGAAAUCUGCCUCAUAAAAUUGAUGGAGAAUUAAUUAAUAUUUAGAAAGUGCUUGAAAUAUAACCUAGCACACAGAAACACUUAAUACAUUAUGUUAUUAUCAUUAUAAUAAAUAAUCAAGUAAUCUGUUUUAUAGCUAAGAAGGAAGAAAUUAAGACUAGCUCAUCAUAGUGCAUAUAAUUUAAGUAUAUAUACUAUUGUGUGACCAAUCCAAUAACUUCUCAAUCUCUCUGGAAAAUAUCUUCCAUAAAGUCUGCAGAAAUAAAAUAGUUACAUUCAUAGCCCCCUAGUUGCUAGCCAUGGCCAUAGGACAAAGUUUUGCCCAAUAAACUAUAAGCAGAAAUCUGAGAGAGGUUUCUGGAAAACCUUUGCUGACUUUGAGCUGUCUAUAUAAACCAUUCUUAAACUAACAAUAUUUUGAGAUUUUCACAUCCGUAUUUCCUAUGGCAGUUGUAAACUCUUGCAGGAAAAGAAUGUUUAAAGUGCAACUUGCAUUUUAGUACUGUUAACACACAGUGCUAGCAGUGAAUUAAACAAACGAAAUACAGUUGUUUUUAUUCCAUCCUCAGUGUUACCUUAAUACAGCUAAUUGAUAUGGAGAUGUUUUUUAAAAAGCAAAACAAGUUUUCACCUUUACAGUACAUGCUUUAGAAUAAUAGGUCUUCAGAAUGAUCACACGAUGCUAAAUUCAGCUUGUUUUCUUUAAUUUACUUUCUGGAAACCUACGAAGGUGCAUAGAGAAUUCUUUAGACAUGGAGACUUUGUAAAGCAUUGUUAAUUUGCCCUCUCAAAUUUCACUUGGAGCUAUGUUUUAAAAAGAGGAAAUAAAUAUUUAUGUAAUGUGUCACUUUCUUCUUUUAGAUCACUUACAAAUAUAACAGCAGUUAAAUGAUAAUGUCUUAUUUGAUAGAUUUAUUAUAAAUACAAAAAC